GACGGACGCUGGCGGCGUGCUUAACACAUGCAAGUCGAGCGGUAAGGCCCUUUCGGGGGUACACGAGCGGCGAACGGGUGAGUAACACGUGGGUGACCUGCCCUCAGCUCUGGGAUAAGCCUGGGAAACCGGGUCUAAUACUGGAUAUGACUCCAUGACGCAUGUUGUGGGGUGGAAAGCCUUGUGCGGCUGAGGAUGGGCCCGCGGCCUAUCAGCUUGUUGGUGGGGUGANGGCCUACCAAGGCGACGACGGGUAGCCGGCCUGAGAGGGCGACCGGCCACACUGGGACUGAGACACGGCCCAGACUCCUACGGGAGGCAGCAGUGGGGAAUCUUGCGCAAUGGGCGAAAGCCUGACGCAGCGACGCCGCGUGAGGGAUGACGGCCUGGUGUAACUAC
rnacentral:rRNA from 1 species